UACGUAGGGGGCAAGCGUUGUCCGGAUUUAUUGGGCGUAAAGAGCGUGUAGGCGGCCCGGUAAGUCCGCUGUGAAAGUCGGGGGCUCAACCCUCGAAUGCCGGUGGAUACUGUCGGGCUAGAGUGCGGAAGAGGCGAGUGGAAUUCCUGGUGUAGCGGUGAAAUGCGCAGAUAUCAGGAGGAACACCAAUUGCGAAGGCAGCUCGCUGGGACGUAACUGACGCUGAGACGCGAAAGCGUGGGGAGCAAACAGG
rnacentral:rRNA from 1 species